AUUUGAUAAUGCGGACAUUGUAUCCGCAACUCCCCAAAUCUUUCCCCAACUUCGAAGAAUUUCUCUGUAUGCUUCUGUCUAAAAGUUUGGAUUUUGUUUCUUAACU
rnacentral:snoRNA from 1 species